rnacentral:rRNA from 1 species
GUAUCUGAAAUCAAGUAGGACCACCCGCUGAACUUAAGCAUAUCACUAAGCGGAGGAAAAGAAAUUAACUAAGAUUGCCCUAGUAACGGCGAGUGAAGCGGCAAGAGCCCAAACUGAAAAUCUUCGCACCUCGUGCGACGAAUUGUAAACUAAAGGGAUGAUGCUUACCGGGAUUUGGCGCAGAAGUGCCUUAGAAUGGGCCGCCAGAGAGGGUGACAGCCCCGUAUGUGGUGCCAAGUCCUACCGAGCGUUGUUUCAAUGAGUCGGGUUGUUUUGAAUUGCAGCCCUAAGCGGGAGAUAAACUUCUUCUAAGGCUAAAUAUAUAUGGGAAACCGAUAGCGAACAAGUACUGUGAAGGAAAGAUGAAAAGAACUUUGAAAAGAGAGUCAAAAGACUUGAAAUCGUUGAGGAGGAAGCGGUAGAAAUUUAUUCUUCGGCGGAGGACAGUGGCGUCUGUCUAACCAUUGUACGUGUCAGUACUUUAACCGGCUGUAGCGUGCGCUUGGGGAAACGGGCGUUUUGGACUUCGUUGUAAGGCAGAAUGGGGUCGUGCUUCCGCAGAGGCUUCUCAGAUCUGGCUUGAUUCGUCUCGCAAUCUGGGUGUGCUGGUGGGCGUAUGGCCUGAGGGUGCUU